rfam:Guillardia theta CCMP2712 unplaced genomic scaffold GTITHscaffold_4, whole genome shotgun sequence.
AUCUUUGCGCUUGGGGCAAUAUCAGUGCACAUGAGAUCCAUUCGAUGCCUGAUGAUUGCUAGUUGAAAACUACUCCAAUCCCCGCGACGAGCCUCUGGCCGUCGCAAUUUUUGACGGGCCUCACCGGC